rnacentral:rRNA from 1 species
UACGUAGGGACCAAGCGUUGUUCGGAUUUACUGGGCGUAAAGGGCGCGUAGGCGGCUUGACAAGUCACUUGUGAAAUCUCUGAGCUUAACUCAGAACGGCCAAGUGAAACUGCUGUGCUAGAGUGCAGAAGGGGCAAUCGGAAUUCUUGGUGUAGCGGUGAAAUGCGUAGAUAUCAAGAGGAACACCUGAGGUGAAGACGGGUUGCUGGGCUGACACUGACGCUGAGGCGCGAAAGCCAGGGGAGCAAACGGG